rnacentral:rRNA from 1 species
AAAUUGAAGAGUUUGAUCAUGGCUCAGAUUGAACGCUGGCGGCAGGCCUAACACAUGCAAGUCGAACGGUAACAGGAAGCAGCUUGCUGCUUCGCUGACGAGUGGCGGACGGGUGAGUAAUGUCUGGGAAACUGCCUGAUGGAGGGGGAUAACUACUGGAAACGGUAGCUAAUACCGCAUAACGUCGCAAGACCAAAGAGGGGGACCUUCGGGCCUCUUGCCAUCGGAUGUGCCCAGAUGGGAUUAGCUUGUUGGUGGGGUAACGGCUCACCAAGGCGACGAUCCCUAGCUGGUCUGAGAGGAUGACCAGUCACACUGGAACUGAGACACGGUCCAGACUCCUACGGGAGGCAGCAGUGGGGAAUAUUGCACAAUGGGCGCAAGCCUGAUGCAGCCAUGCCGCGUGUAUGAAGAAGGCCUUCGGGUUGUAAAGUACUUUCAGCGGGGAGGAAGGGAGUAAAGUUAAUACCUUUGCUCAUUGACGUUACCCGCAGAAGAAGCACCGGCUAACUCCGUGCCAGCAGCCGCGGUAAUACGGAGGGUGCAAGCGUUAAUCGGAAUUACUGGGCGUAAAGCGCACGCAGGCGGUUUGUUAAGUCAGAUGUGAAAUCCCCGGGCUCAACCUGGGAACUGCAUCUGAUACUGGCAAGCUUGAGUCUCGUAGAGGGGGGUAGAAUUCCAGGUGUAGCGGUGAAAUGCGUAGAGAUCUGGAGGAAUACCGGUGGCGAAGGCGGCCCCCUGGACGAAGACUGACGCUCAGGUGCGAAAGCGUGGGGAGCAAACAGGAUUAGAUACCCUGGUAGUCCACGCCGUAAACGAUGUCGACUUGGAGGUUGUGCCCUUGAGGCGUGGCUUCCGGAGCUAACGCGUUAAGUCGACCGCCUGGGGAGUACGGCCGCAAGGUUAAAACUCAAAUGAAUUGACGGGGGCCCGCACAAGCGGUGGAGCAUGUGGUUUAAUUCGAUGCAACGCGAAGAACCUUACCUGGUCUUGACAUCCACGGAAGUUUUCAGAGAUGAGAAUGUGCCUUCGGGAACCGUGAGACAGGUGCUGCAUGGCUGUCGUCAGCUCGUGUUGUGAAAUGUUGGGUUAAGUCCCGCAACGAGCGCAACCCUUAUCCUUUGUUGCCAGCGGUCCGGCCGGGAACUCAAAGGAGACUGCCAGUGAUAAACUGGAGGAAGGUGGGGAUGACGUCAAGUCAUCAUGGCCCUUACGACCAGGGCUACACACGUGCUACAAUGGCGCAUACAAAGAGAAGCGACCUCGCGAGAGCAAGCGGACCUCAUAAAGUGCGUCGUAGUCCGGAUUGGAGUCUGCAACUCGACUCCAUGAAGUCGGAAUCGCUAGUAAUCGUGGAUCAGAAUGCCACGGUGAAUACGUUCCCGGGCCUUGUACACACCGCCCGUCACACCAUGGGAGUGGGUUGCAAAAGAAGUAGGUAGCUUAACCUUCGGGAGGGCGCUUACCACUUUGUGAUUCAUGACUGGGGUGAAGUCGUAACAAGGUAACCGUAGGGGAACCUGCGGUUGGAUCACCUCCUUACCUUAAAGAAGC